rnacentral:rRNA from 1 species
AGAGUUUGAUCCUGGCUCAGAGCGAACGCUGGCGGCAGGCCUAACACAUGCAAGUCGAGCGGAUGUAGCAAUACAUCAGCGGCAGACGGGAGAGUAACACGUGGGAACGCGCCCUUCGGUUCGGAAUAACUCAGGGAAACUUGGGCUAAUACCGAAUACGCCCUUACGGGGAAAGAUUUAUUGCCGAAGGAACGGCCCGCGUCCGAUUAGCUUGUUGGUGAGGUAACGGCUCACCAAGGCGACGAUCGGUAGCUGGUCUGAGAGGAUGACCAGCCUCACUGGGACUGAGACACGGCCCAGACUCCUACGGGAGGCAGCAGUGGGGAAUAUUGGACAAUGGGCGCAAGCCUGAUCCAGCCAUGCCGCGUGAGUGAUGAAGGCCUUAGGGUUGUAAAGCUCUUUUAGCAGGGAAGAUAAUGACGGUACCUGCAGAAAAAGCCCCGGCUAACUUCGUG